rnacentral:lncRNA from 1 species
AUGGAGGGAAAGAGACAGCUUGAGAAAAGGGACUUUGGGAAAAGGCUGUCUUUAGAUAGCAGUCUCGUGGAAUACAUGGACUCCAACAAAUACAUUGAACAUCUGUUAAAUCAACUGGAGGAGCAACAUAGAAGUCUCUGGAGGGAGAAGUUGGCUGUGGCCCGACUGCAGAGAGAAGUUGCCCAGAGAAGAAAUGAGGGGGCCAUGCAUGAGAAGCUGAUCCAUGAAUUGGAAGAGGAGAGACACUUGCGUCUUCAGAGUGAGAAGCGCUUGCAGGAGGUGACACUGGAGUCUGAGCGCAACAGAAUUCAGAUGCGCGGCCUGCAGCAGCAGUUCUCCAGAAUGGAAGAAACAGUACGAAAUUUACUACAAAGUCAAGGACCUCCAGAACAGAAAAAAGAAGAAACGGUUAAUAUAAUGGUCUAUCAGGAAAAACUGUCAGAAGAGGAGCGAAAACACAAGGCAGCUUUGGAAGGCCGUCACAUGGUGCUAGAUGAGGACUCCAGGAGUGAAGGGAGCAGUGCAGAUGAGGGGAAAGGAAAGACCAAAUGGCUGUUAGAAAGAUUGAAAGCUCUAGAGGCAGAGAAUUCAGCAUUGGCUUUGGAAAAUGAAAAUCAAAGGGAACAGUAUGAGAGAUGUCUUGAUGAGGUAGCGAACCAGGUUGUGCAAGCCCUGCUCACUCAAAAGGAUCUCAGGGAGGAAUGUGUAAAGUUGAAAACAAGAGUGUUUGAUUUGGAACAACAGAAUCGAACGCUAAGCAUCCUUUUCCAACAGCGAGUCAGACCAACUUCUGAUCUCCUCCAGAAACUUCACUCGCGCAUCUUAGAUCUUUCAUCCGGGGAUUUACUCUCAGAUGUGGAAAGAAGCCAGAGUCUGACGCACUCACGAACUGAUGUUGAAAUGCAUCAGCUGAACACAAAAGCAGGAACCCCUGCUUUGAAAUGCCCUGGCAUGGGGAUUGCCGUCUCAGGUCAUCUCUGCCCUCGAAGCAGCUACAGCAGCAGUGAGCUCUCUCUCUCCAGCACCUGCAGCGAGUAUUCCAGCGGCUCUUCCUACACGUGGCAUGAUGGAAAGAACCUCAGGAAAAGGAUAAGAGAGGCAAAUGAACACCUGCAAGAGGAUGAAGAAGAUACAGUUGCAGAUUCUGCAUUUCAGAGCCAUACCAUAGAAACAAACUGCCAGAUGAGGACCCUGGACAGUGGGAUUGGAACCUUCCCACUCCCAGACUCAGGAACUCGCGCAGCGGGACGGUACAUACGCCAAGCAGACUCCCCUGAGGACACUGACCCCAUCCUGUCUCUCCAACCGGCCCUUUGUGCAGCUUCUUCCAUGAGAGCCCAGACCCUUGAAAGAGAAGUGCCUUCCUCUGCAGAUAGCCAGGGCUCUGCAGACAACGCCAUUGUUCACUCCACAUCCGACCCCAUCAUGACUGCCAGAGGGAUGCGACCUCUUCAGAAUCUCCUCCCCAAAUCAGCCUCCUCAGGAAAAAUCGGUUCCCAAAUGCAGAGUGAAGCCGAGCCAAGGUCUCAAAAUUGUUCAUCAUUCGAAUAUGUCGAAAACACAAUGGCAAGCAAGCCACUUCCAGCCUGGGAGGGUGAUGGCGCUGCUGCAGAGACCCAGGACAAGGUACCCAGAAUGUGUGCAUACUCUGCCAGCGGUAGCAGUGAUAGUGACAGUGACCCGGACUAUGGAAAUAAUGGUUUUGGAGCUGGAAGGGGCAAGUUAGUGAAAGCAAUGAAGAGCGCCACCCCAGAAAUUGAAACAAGUUGA